rfam:Deltaproteobacteria bacterium RBG_16_47_11 RBG_16_scaffold_788, whole genome shotgun sequence.
GCCGAUAAAGCCAAACUCCGAGCAAUCGGAGGACGGAAAGCCACGGGUCCCUUUUGGAUAGCCGGGUUGCCGAAG